GACGAACGCUUGCGACGUGCCUAAGAAAUGCAAGUCGAACGGGGGAGCAACCCCUAGUGGCGAACGGUCGCGUAACACGUGGGCAACCUGCCCUGAAGCGGGGGACAACAGUCCGAAAGGGCUGCUAAUACCGCAUGUGAAGGGGAAUGGCAUCAUUCCUUGUUCAAAGCUUUAUGCACUUCAGGAUGGGCCCGCGGCCUAUCAGCUUGUUGGUGGGGUAAUGGCCCACCAAGGCGACGACGGGUAGCCGGCCUGAGAGGGCGACCGGCCACACUGGGACUGAGACACGGCCCAGACUCCUACGGGAGGCAGCAGUGGGGAAUAUUGCGCAAUGGGCGGAAGCCUGACGCAGCGACGCCGCGUGAGGGAUGAAGGCCUU
rnacentral:rRNA from 1 species